rnacentral:rRNA from 1 species
AUUGAACGCUGGCGGCAGGCCUACCACAUGCAAGUCGAACGAGUGGCGGACGGGUGAGUAAUGUCUGGGAAACUGCCCGAUGGAGGGGGAUAACUACUGGAAACGGUAGCUAAUCCCGCAUACCAUCGGAUGUGCCCAGAUGGGAGUAGCUAGUAGGUGGGGUAACGGCUCACAUAGGCGACGAUCCCUAGCUGGUCGGAGAGGAUGACCAGCAACACUGGAACUGAGACAGGGUCUCGACUCCUACGGGAGGCAGCGGUGGGGAAUAUUGCACAAUGGGCGCAAGCCUGAUGCAGCCAUGCCGCGUGUAUGAAGAAUGCCGUCGGGUUGUAAAGUACUUUCAGCGAGGAGGCGUUACUCGCAGAAGAAGCACCGGCUAACUCCGUGCCAGCAGCCGCGGUAAUUC